AGUACACCGAAGAAGGUUCAUGGUAAAGAGACGUUGAAAUUAGGUGAUGGUUUACGUUUCAAGACAAGCCAAGAUGUUAAAGGAAAGGGAAAAGGUAAACUUUUUGUCGACCGAUCCGUCACAGUCGAUAAUUUCAACAAACAAUGCAAAGGCCGAAAACGUUCUACAACAUCUGCUCAAACUGUCAAGCAUCGAAAGAAGUUUACAAGGAAUGCAAGCAAAGUUUCCGGUCUCG